UUGGAGGGCAAGUCUGGUGCCAGCAGCGAGGAAAUUCCAGCUCCAAUAGCGUAUAUUAAAGUUGUUGCAGUUAAAAAGCUCGUAGUUGAACUUCGGGGUCUACCCAUUGGUCAGGCUUAAUUGUCUGCACUGGUGAGAUGGAUCUCUACCUUCUGAGGAACUUUCAUGCCAUUUAUUUGGUGUGAUGGGAAAUCAGGACUGUUACUUUGAAAAAAUUAGAGUGUUUAAAGCAGACUAUCGUCUGAAUACAUAAGCAUGGAAUAAUGAAAUAGGACGGACUGAUUCUAUUUCGUUGGUUUCUAGGAUCACCGUAAUGAUUAAUAGGGAUAGUUGGGGGCAUUAGUAUUCAAUUGUCAGAGGUGAAAUUCUUGGAUUUAUUGAAGACUAACUACUGCGAAAGCAUUUGCCAAGGAUGUUUUCAUUAAUCAAGAACGAAAGUUAGGGGAUCGAAGACGAUCAGAUACCGUCGUAGUCUUAACCAUAAACUAUGCCGACUAGGGAUCGGACGAAGUUAAUUUUAUAAUGACGCGUUCGGCGCCUUACGGGAAAC
rnacentral:rRNA from 1 species